GUCCACGCCGUAAACGAUGAGUACUGGGUGUCGCGGGUAGUUGACCCCUGCGGUGCCGUAGCUAACGCGUUAAGUACUCCGCCUGGGGAUUACGGUCGCAAGAUUAAAACUCAAAGGAAUUGACGGGGGCCCGCACAAGCGGUGGAGCAUGUGGUUUAAUUCGACGCAACGCGAAGAACCUUACCUGGGCUAGACAACGGUGGACCUCCCCAGAGAUGGGGCUUUCCCUUCGGGGACUGCCGGAUCAGGUGCUGCAUGGCUGUCGU
rnacentral:rRNA from 1 species